GAAAGCCCCCGGCUCAACCGGGGAGGGUCAUUGGAAACUGGGGAACUUGAGUGCAGAAGAGGAGAGUGGAAUUCCACGUGUAGCGGUGAAAUGCGUAGAGAUGUGGAGGAACACCAGUGGCGAAGGCGACUCUCUGGUCUGUAACUGACGCUGAGGAGCGAAAGCGUGGGGAGCGAACAGGAUUAGAUACCCUGGUAGUCCACGCCGUAAACGAUGAGUGCUAAGUGUUAGGGGGUUUCCGCCCCUUAGUGCUGCAGCUAACGCAUUAAGCACUCCGCCUGGGGAGUACGGUCGCAAGACUGAAACUCAAAGGAAUUGACGGGGGCCCGCACAAGCGGUGGAGCAUGUGGUUUAAUUCGAAGCAACGCGAAGAACCUUACCAGGUCUUGACAUCCUCUGACAAUCCUAGAGAUAGGACGUCCCCUUCGGGGGCAGAGUGACAGGUGGUGCAUGGUUGU
rnacentral:rRNA from 2 species